rnacentral:rRNA from 1 species
UGCCGACGGACGCUUGCUGUUUCGCUGACGAGUGGCGGACGGGUGAGUAAUGUCUGGGAAACUGCCUGAUGGAGGGGGAUAACUACUGGAAACGGUAGCUAAUACCGCAUAACGUCGCAAGACCAAAGAGGGGGACCCUCGGGCCUCUUGCCAUCGGAUGUGCCCAGAUGGGAUUAGCUUGUUGGUGGGGUAACGGCUCACCAAGGCGACGAUCCCUAGCUGGUCUGAGAGGAUGACCAGCCACACUGGAACUGAGACACGGUCCAGACUCCUACGGGAGGCAGCAGUGGGGAAUAUUGCACAAUGGGCGCAAGCCUGAUGCAGCCAUGCCGCGUGUAUGAAGAAGGCCUUCGGGUUGUAAAGACUUUCAGCGGGGAGGAAGGGAGUAAAGUUAAUACCUUUGCUCAUUGACUUUACCCGCAAAAAAAGCACCGGCUAACUCCGUGCCAGCAUCCGCGGGAAUACAGAGGGUGCACGUUUAAUCGGAAUUACUGGGCGUAAAGCGCACCCAGGCGGUUUGUUAAAUCAAAUGUGAAAUCCCCCGGCUCAACCUGGGAACUGCAUCUGAUACUGGGCAACUUGAAUUUCGUAGAGGGGGGUAAAAUUUCAGGUGGAACGGUUAACUGCAUAAAAAUUCGGGAAGAAUAACG